UUGCCUGCAUUUAAGUACGCAUGUGAUA
rnacentral:piRNA from 1 species